rnacentral:lncRNA from 1 species
CCUCUCUUGUCAAGGCACAGCAGGGGCUGUUGCUUGCCUGGGAACCCUGCCAAAGCUGUAACAGCACUCAAUUCACCUAGCAGGGGCCACCUGCUUCAGGGGCAUUGUGGACCAGUCCUCUGGACACUAGUUUUUGGAAGAAGGGACUUGACAGCCCCGGUGAGUGGUGAGAUUGAGUGGCACCAGGUGGACUGCUUGCCUGAGGCCGCUCACCCCAUGCAACUGCAAUUCCCAAGCCUUUUCCCUGGAUGUCAGCCUCUAUCCACAGCGAGGUGUCUCUUGAAAAUGGCUAUAAAACUUCUUGUCAAAUUGGAGUACUUUGGAAUAUUUAGGAAAAGUUGGCAGAGAGGAGACAGGACUAAAGUGCAGCUCCCACUUGGAUGAACUGAACAGUGUGUGGAGACUCACAUUGUGAAUUUUUGCUCCAAGAACUACCUCAGGAACAUACCAGAAAAACCAAAAGAAUUCACAGACCCUUUGAAAAAAGUGGCUUGCCAGUGCAAACUCCAUGAGACAGCUGAAAAACUGUGCUCUCUGUACACAGAGGGUUUUGUCUGUUUGGUCACCGAUAUAUCUUCAGUGCCCAGAACAGUGCAUGGCAAUGGCAGACUCUCAACUGAUGGUUUAAAGAGGUUGUCUUUUCCAAGGCCCAUCACCUGCUUCACAGAAUUUUCAGCUCUUUUGACAAUUUCCAAGACAAGGGAUGAGUUCCAGCCACCAUGUCAUGAGGAGACCCUGGAUACCCCAGCUCAGAGCCUAGAGUGAGUAUUUGCAUUGAAGAGGAAACGUCGUAUAUUUGAAAUUUUCCAUUUUCUAGACUAUGCUUUGGGUCUUCAACUUCCACGCCAACACCAGAGGAUAAGUAUUUGAGACCCCCACAUUGGUCAUCCAACUAUGAAAAAAUUCUCAUUUUAAGCAUAUACAGCUUAAAAAAAGAAUCAACUUCAUGUAUUUGGAAAACCGUAAGUGCCAUCUUCCAUCAUUCAAAAAUGUCUGUAACAGACCAGCAUUAUUGACAGUUCUGAGCUAGACCGAAGGAACUCUUUUCUAUGACUUCAACAGAAAUAUUUUGUUAUUACAAUGUUUGCAAACAUUUUUAAGGUAUUGUUCAGUCAAAUGAUAGUCCCUAUAGCUUGCAACUCAAAAUAUCAUGGUGGUGAAAUACUCAUUAGUCACCUGCUAUAACUUCAAUGGAAUGUGCUAGGACACGGAGUUUGUAAAAGCAGAUAUUGUCUUGUUAAGCUGUCAGGUCCCAUAAUGUACAGCCUCACGCAAGGACACUGUCAUCAGGAAAAAGGCUUAGAUUAUGUGCUCCAAGUACACCAAGAAACUGGUUUCUGGAAACCCGACUUUUCAAUGAACGCUUGUUAAAGCAGAGUUAAUGUGUUUCCUACUGUUAUAACAAUGACGUGUGAGUCACAUAUGUGGUUUCGAGAUUCCUAAACUGGAUCUGCCUGGCUGCUGAUGUAAUCAGAAAUAACCUCUGGCUGUUUGAGACUAUAAUAUUCUGGAGGAAAACUGCCCAGCUGAUGCAACUGCUGAUUUUUGUUAACGCUAUCACCAACAUUCCCAGCAUUCAAAAUUCUUUAAGAUAUUAUUAUUCAUUAAUACUUUGUUUUAGAUAUUAUUAUUCAUUAAUACUUUGUUUUCAUUUGGAAAAUUUAUUUACUAUCAAAGCAAAAUAUUUUUGGGAUUCAGCCUGUAAAUUUAUCUUAAUUCUCACUGUCCUCACUGUCUGAAGGUCCUUUGUUAUUGGGGAAAAGAAUGUGGGGUUAGGUGUCAGGCAGAUUUGCACUUGAAUUUCAGCUCUGUCACUUACCUGUGUGAUUUCAGAGAGGUUACUGAACCUCUCUGAGCCUUGAGUUUCUAAUUUGGAAAAACAGGAAAUUAUUCCUAUCUCACAAUGUUCUGAAAAUAAAGUUAGACAUAGAGCAGCAUUUGGAAAAACAAGAGAGUACAACAUAGACAACCAGGUAUUUGGACCUAGGCUUGCCUCUAGGGAGCCUGGCUUGAUGAAUCUGCUGGGUUUUGAGCCCUGUGGGCCCUCCAGCUGGGCUGUCCUCCCCAAGCCCUAAACAAGGGAUUCAUUCAAACUCCCUAGGUCUUCACAGAAAGCAAGAGAAAAAUGAUGAGAGGAGGUUGUUGAGCCAGUUGCUUGCAAGAGCAGUCUUUCCUAUGGGAUGCCAUCAGUCAGUUGUUAAGUUUACAAAGCAGCAGGAAUAUGUAACUGAGAAUUUUGACUUUCAAAAUUUCUAUGAGCAGCCUCUUGGUAUCAGAACAAGAAGAUGGCAGUUGUGAAAGGAAGAAGAUCAUGAAAAUGCUGCAAUUUCAGAGGGGCAGAGAUCAGGGCAGAAAAAGAAAUCAUAAGCUUCCUGACACCUGAGGCUGAUUCGUUAAGCAGGAAAGAGGAGGAUGCUUACAAGGUGUUUCAACCACCAGGGACCCAAAAGGUGGGAGUGUAAAUUAGUUCAACCAUUGUGGAAGACAGUGUGGUGAUUCCUCAAGGAUCUA